rnacentral:rRNA from 1 species
UACGUAGGUGGCAAGCGUUGUCCGGAUUUACUGGGCGUAAAGAGCGCGCAGGCGGUCGUUCAAGUCGCGUGUGAAAGCCCCCGGCUCAACUGGGGAGGGUCACGCGAUACUGAUCGACUCGAAGGCAGGAGAGGGUAGUGGAAUUCCCGGUGUAGUGGUGAAAUGCGUAGAUAUCGGGAGGAACACCGGUGGCGAAGGCGGCCUUCUGGACAGCAACUGACGCUGAGACGCGAAAGCGUGGGGAGCAAACAGG